AGCGAACGCUGGCGGCAGGCUUAACACAUGCAAGUCGAGCGGGCAUCCUUGUGGUGUCCGCGGCAGACGGGUGAGUAACGCGUGGGAACGUGCCCUUCGGUUCGGAAUAACUCAGGGAAACUUGAGCUAAUACCGGAUACGUGCGAGAGCAGAAAGGUUUAUCUGCCGAAGGAUCGGCCCGCGUCUGAUUAGCUAGUUGGUGAGGUUAUGGCUCACCAAGGCGACGAUCAGUAGCUGGUCUGAGAGGAUGAUCAGCCACACUGGGACUGAGACACGGCCCAGACUCCUACGGGAGGCAGCAGUGGGGAAUAUUGGACAAUGGGGGCAACCCUGAUCCAGCCAGGCCGCGUGAGUGAUGACGGCCUUAGGGUUGUAAAGCUCUUUUCUCCGGGACGAUAAUGACGGUACCGGAGGAAUAAGCCCCGGCUAACUUCGUG
rnacentral:rRNA from 1 species